rnacentral:lncRNA from 1 species
CUGAACUUGAGUGGUCAAUCUCAUCUUGACACACGCACUGACAAGUCAAGUACUUGACUACACCCAGCAGCCUUCCGUCACUGAAUUAGAAAUUCAGGUAGUCCAGUGCCUAAGUGCAGUGAGUUGCUUGCAAGUCACCAUGACGGUCUCAGGUUGGAGGGAUAGUUAUACCCAUAUCCCAUCGGAGCAAAUUUUGAUAGCAGAAAUAUCUCCAG